rnacentral:rRNA from 1 species
UACGUAGGUGGCAAGCGUUGUCCGGAAUUACUGGGCGUAAAGCGCGCGCAGGCGGUUCUUUAAGUCUGGUGUUUAAGCUCAAGGCUCAACCUUGGGACGCACGGGAAACUGGGGAACUGGAGUGCAGGAGAGGAAAGUGGAAUUCCACGUGUAGCGGUGAAAUGCGUAGAUAUGUGGAGGAACACCAGUGGCUAAGGCGAGUCUCUUGACAAUUCCUGACGCUGAGGCACGAAAGCUAGGGGAGCAAACAGG